rnacentral:rRNA from 1 species
UACGUAGGGGGCAAGCGUUGUCCGGAUUUAUUGGGCGUAAAGAGCGUGUAGGCGGCCAAGCAGGUCCGCUGUGAAAACUCGAGGCUCAACCUCGAGACGUCGGUGGAAACCGUUUGGCUAGAGUCCGGAAGAGGAGAGUGGAAUUCCCGGUGUGAGCGGUGAAAUGACGCAGAUAUCGGGAAGAACACCCGUGGCGAAGGCGGCUCUCUGGGACGGUACUGACGCUGAGACGCGAAAGCGUGGGGAGCGAACGAGGA